rnacentral:rRNA from 1 species
UACGAAGGGGGCUAGCGUUGUCCGGAAUUAUUGGGCGUAAAGAGCUCGUAGGCGGUCUGUCGCGUCUGCUGUGAAAACUCGGGGCUUAACCCCGGGCCUGCAGUGGGUACGGGCAGACUAGAGUGCGGUAGGGGGUGACUGGAAUUCCUGGUGUAGCGGUGGAAUGCGCAGAUAUCAGGAGGAACACCGAUGGCGAAGGCAGGUCACUGGGCCGCAACUGACGCUGAGGAGCGAAAGCAUGGGGAGCGAACAGG